rnacentral:rRNA from 1 species
UGAAUACGAGAUGCUACGGCGUCGAAGCAGUCUAUGUCAUACUUCCAAGAAAAGCUCGCACUGUCAUAAACAAAUAAUGCCUGUACCAUAACCGACACAGGUGGGUAGGUAGAGUAUACUAAGGGGCGCGAGAUAACUCUCUCUAAGGAACUCGGCAAAAUGACUCCGUAACUUCGGGAGAAGGAGUGCCUUAUUUAUAAGGUUGCAAUAACAAGAUCCAAGCAACUGUUUAUCAAAAACACAGGUCUCCGCUAAGUCGUAAGACGAUGUAUGGGGGCUGACGCCUGCCCAGUGCCAGAAGGUUAAAGAAGUUGGUUAGCAUUCGCGAAGCUGAUAACUGAAGCCCUGGUGAACGGCGGCCGUAACGAUAACGGUCCUAAGGUAGCGAAAUUCCUUGUCGGGUAAGUUCCGGCCCGCACGAAAGGCGUAAUGAUUUGGAUACUGUCUCGGAGAGGGGCUCGGUGAAAUAGACUUGUCUGUGAAGAUGCGGACUACCUGCACCAGGACAGAAAGACCCUAUGAAGCUUUACUGUAACUUGAGAUUGAAAUUGGACUUUACUUGCGCAGUAUAGGUGGGAGGCGUUGAUAAUAUUCUUGCGGGAUUAUUUGAGCCAUCAGUGAGAUACCACUCUUGUAAUGUUAGAUUUCUAACUUUGUAUCAUUAUCUGGUCAAAGGACAGUUUCAGGCGGGCAGUUUGACUGGGGCGGUCGCCUCCUAAACGGUAACGGAGGCGCACAAAGGUUUCCUCUGAACGGGUAGAAAUCGUAUCUAGAGUGUAAAGGCAUAAGGAAGCUUGACUGUGAGACCUACAAGUCGAGCAGGGACGAAAGUCGGUCUUAGUGAUCUGACGGUGCUGAGUGGAAAGGCCGUCACUCAACGGAUAAAAGUUACUCUAGGAUAACAGGCUGAUCUCCCCCAAGAGUUCACAUCGACGGGGAGGUUUGGCACCUCGAUGUCGGCUCAUCGCAUCCUGGGGCGGUAGUACGUCCCAAGGGUUGGGCUGUUCGCCCAUGAAAGCGGUACGCGAGCUGGGUUCAGAACGUCGUGAGACAGUUCGGUCCAUAUCCGGUGUAGGCGUUAGAAUAUUGAGAGGAGCCUUCUUUAGUACGAGAGGACCGAGAAGGACAUACCUCUGGUGUACCAGUUAUCGUGCCAACGGUAAACGCUGGGUAGCUAUGUAUGGAGUGGAUAACCGCUGAAAGCAUCUAAGUGGGAAGCCCACCUCAAGAUAAGUAUUCUCAU